UACGGAGGGUGCAAGCGUUAUUCGGAUUCACUGGGUUUAAAGGGUGCGUAGGUGGGCUGGUAAGUCAGUGGUGAAAUCUCCGAGCUUAACUCGGAAACUGCCGUUGAUACUAUUUGUCUUGAAUAUUGUGGAGGUAAGCGGAAUAUGUCAUGUAGCGGUGAGAUGCUUAGAUAUGACAUAGAACACCAAUUGCGAAGGCAGCUUACUACACAACGAUUGACGCUGAGGCACGAAAGCGUGGGGAUCAAACGGG
rnacentral:rRNA from 1 species